rnacentral:rRNA from 1 species
GAUUGGGAUAUGCUCUAUUAGCUAGUUGGCGGGAUAAAAGCCCACCAAGGCAAUGAUAGAUAGCUGGUCUUAGAGGAUGAACAGCCACAAUGGGAUUGAGAUACGGCCCAUAUUCCUACGGGAAGCAGCAGUAGGGAAUCUUCCACAAUGGACGAAAGUCUGAUGGAGCAAUACCAUGUGAACGAUGAAGGCCUUUUUGGUUGUAAAGUUCUUUUACGAGGGAUAAUUAUGAUAGUACUUCGUGAAUAAGUGACAGCAAACUAUGUGCCAGCAGCUGCGGUAAUACAUAGGUCGCGAGCAUUAUUCGGAUUUAUUGGGCGUAAAGCAAGCGCAGGCGGAUGUGUAAGUUCUGUGUUAAAUGCAGCUACUCAAUAGUUGUAUGCACCGAAUACUACAUGUCUAGAUUGUGGUAGGGAGUUUCGGAAUUAAGCAUGGAGCGGUGGAAUGUGUAGAUAUGCUUAAGAACACCAGAGGCGAAGGCGGAAACUUAGGCCAUAAAUGACGCUUAGGCUUGAAAGUGUGGGGAGCAAAUGGGAUUAGAUACCCCAGUAGUCCACACCGUAAACGAUGGGUAUUAGAUAUUAGGGCUUUAGCUUUAGUGUUGUAGCUUACGCGUUAAAUACCCCGCCUGGGUAGUACAUAUGCAAAUAUGAAACUCAAAGGAAUUGACGGGGAUCUGAACAAGUGGUGGAGCAUGUUGCUUAAUUCGAUAAUACACGAAAAACCUUACCAAGGUUUGACAUCCCUCGCAAAGCUAUAGAAAUAUAGUAGAGGUUAUCGAGGUGACAGGUGGUGCAUGGCUGUCGUCAGCUCGUGUCUUGAGAUGUUUGGUUAAGUCCCGCAACGAGCGCAACCCCACUCUUUAGUUACUUGUCUAAAGAGACUGCACAGUAAUGUAGAGGAAGGAUGGGAUCACGUCAAGUCAUCAUGCCCCUUAU